rnacentral:rRNA from 1 species
GUGGGGAAUAUUGGACAAUGGGCGAAAGCCUGAUCCAGCCAUGCCGCGUGUGUGAAGAAGGUCUUCGGAUUGUAAAGCACUUUAAGUUGGGAGGAAGGGCAGUAAGUUAAUACCUUGCUGUUUUGACGUUACCGACAGAAUAAGCACCGGCUAACUUCGUGCCAGCAGCCGCGGUAAUACGAAGGGUGCAAGCGUUAAUCGGAAUUACUGGGCGUAAAGCGCGCGUAGGUGGUUUUGUAAGUUGGAGGUGAAAUCCCCGGGCUCAACCUGGGAACUGACUCAAAAACUGCAUGACUAGAGUACGGUAGAGGGUAGUGGAAUUUCCUGUGUAGCGGUGAAAUGCGUAGAUAUAGGAAGGAACACCAGUGGCGAAGGCGACUACCUGGACUGAUACUGACACUGAGGUGCGAAAGCGUGGGGAGCAAACAGGAUUAGAUACCCCUGUAGUCC